rnacentral:lncRNA from 1 species
CUGCCGUGUACACUGAUCAAUACCUACAGAAGUGAAACAAUGCAUGAACUUGCAAGCCCGACAGGAAAUCGCUUGAAUACCUGGACGUGUCACCUGAGUCCUCACACCCCUCACAAUACCUUUGGGAGUAAUACCUUUAGCUAUGCUGGUGAUCAGAUGAGGAAAGAUCCGAAUUUAUUUGAAUAAAGUUUAUUACUUUAAAGAAUUAUGAAAACAAUUUUCACGGAACACUUAUUUAUUAUUUGAACUUUGACUUUUU